GUGUGGACUUAUUUAGACAGCCUUAGCUCAAGUGCAGGCCAGGUCUAGGUCGAGGUGAGCAAGGGGUAGACGGGGGAACGGGGAGCCGAGGUCGUAGUCGAAGAGGUGCGGCGGUCGUUCGAGCGGCGGCGGCAGGUCGAGUGGCGGCGGCAGGUCCAGCGGGGGUACCAUGAGCAGGUCCAGCAGGUCCAGCGGGGGUCCAAGACUACCCCCCUCGUUUCUCCACGAGCUUCACAUGAGGUUCUCACCGCCGUUGCUGCUCUUGUCGCUCACGUGGCUGGUCUCGAGAGGGGCGCGACACGACCUGUAUAGCCACAGACCAUCGCACCUGAGGCUGCUCUCGAGGAGGCAGCUCGUCAGCCGCCACGGGUCGGCGUCACACGUCGGCGACGUCACCUCCUUGGACUAGUCGCCCUAUUAUGAGUCGUCCUUCUUCGACUACCGGUCUCGCCACUGCAAGGGAGUCGCCAGGUUCUCGUGCCCCGAAUUUUCCAUGGACCCCUCCUACGCCUCGCCGUUCUUGGUCUACCUGACGUCGCGGUAGCGGGGCCUCUAGAAGGGGCUCUAGCUCUUCACCUCGGGUAGUACCUCCUCGAAGCUGAUGCUGCUCGAGACGCGACGUUGACUGUCUAAGUCAAGUCUAUUAAACUAGCCUUUCCCUCCGCGACUCCAGAUGUUUCCUGUCGAACGACUACCUGUCAAACACCGUCACUUCUCCAAUUGUUUUCCGCCGUUGUUCCUCCUGUCCUAGUCGCUAAAGGAUAGGCUCGAACCUUAUUAUCGUGUGCAGUUGGUGGGUUUGCGCCGUGUCGAGAAUCCCAAGUCACACCUUCCCCCGAACGUGGACCAAGAAGUUAAGAGUGGUGUGCCUUCGAACCGAAGAGAAGAGGUACCACGUUUCCCUCCGGAGUCCACCUUCCGGGCCAAGUCAUAACGUCAACCUUAGCGACUUCCCGAUAAAAUAGAUGUACUUCCGACGGUAGCCGUGUAUUAAGUGUCUCUGUAGUUCCGAAGUUUAUAAGAAAAUUGACUUCUAAUAGUUGGAGUAUAGAGUCUAAAACCGGAACGAUUCACCGAAGGACUGUUUACGUGGGUAGUCCAACACAAGGGAUAUCUUCCGUGUAAACCCACUCAAACUAUACAAGUACCACUGAAGUAUUAAGGGUCAUCUGACCGACGAACGUAGUUAGCUACGUCUCGGGUCUCGAAAGAAGAAGAAUUUUUAUCUUUCUUCCUUUUUUUAGAAGUACGUACCCUAGUAUUUACUCUUCUGCCUACACAAACGUAUGCCUCAUAACGAAGAACUUGAUCACUGUCACGCCUUUCGGCACCUGAGAAGGUCUGUUUCGGACCACUAUACCCGUUUUGGCGACGAGCUCAGCUUGUUGUACUUCCCCGAUCACCUAGGAAGAGAACUACAACCUAUACUGGGUCUUCUCUACCGUGAGUGGGACCGUCACCGUAGGUACACGUAGGUGGUGUCGCGUUUGAACGCCGGAUCGUACUUUAGCCACCAGGCAAAGAACUUCCCUCUAUCUCUUAGUGAGCUUGACUACCCUUUCGGAUUUGGGUGUUUCGGGGGUUACAAGCUGAGGACACUAAGUCUCCUGAUGUGAGCGUGCUCAAUGGAGUUACUAGAGCUGUUCGUGUUCGUCGACCGCGACCUCGUCACUUAAAAAUCGGCUGAAACCUGUCUAAGCCGUAGAAAAACAUGUAGCACUGAUAGAAGUAACACUAGGAGGGCGAAAGGUCUCUACAAAUAUCUAACAUACCUAUCUACACUCCCUAGUUAGACAGCAAACGGAGGGACAACGACUAGAUUCCACAGUAAAGAACCGAAGGUUACCAGUGACAUACAACACUAUGGGACUAGACAUACCGGUCCCGGUUGCUACAACCGAUAUACGGACAUACAGUGUUAAGGAGUAUACCCUUGUAAGAAUCUCUAUCUUCUCACCUUACAUAAAACCAGUAGACGUCCCAAAUAAGUACACAGGAACAAUACUGGAAGGUAAAAACGUCAAAA
rnacentral:rRNA from 1 species